GCCUCCAUAGCUCAGGGGAUAGAGCGUUGGUUUCCGGUACCAAAGGUCGCAGGUUCGAAUCCUGUUGGGGGCG
rnacentral:tRNA from 1 species